rnacentral:ncRNA from 2 species
UACGAAGGGGGCGAGCGUUGUUCGGAUUUACUGGGCGUAAAGGGCGCGUAGGCGGCGUGACAAGUCAGGCGUGAAAGCCCCGGGCUCAACCUGGGAAUGGCGCUUGGGACUGUCAUGCUCGAGUUCGGGAGAGGAGCGUGGAAUUCCCAGUGUAGAGGUGAAAUUCGUAGAUAUUGGGAAGAACACCGGUGGCGAAGGCGGCGCUCUGGACCGAGACUGACGCUGAGGCGCGAAAGCGUGGGGAGCAAACAGG